GCGGGGUCAGGGCUGCCAAGGCGGGGGAGGCCGAGCCGAGCAGCACCAGCACGUCCUCUUCCUCCUUCAACUCCAAGGUCUCGGAUUUGACGAACAUCCUACCAAAGAGAGAGGGGAAGGAGAAAAGGGCAGUGAGGCGUAAGGAAAGAAACAGAGGCGCGAUCUUCGUGUCACAGGGGCGUGCUCGGGCGCGCACCCGAGAAGACCAGCUCCGAAUGGCGCGGGGAAAGAAACCCGGGCCAAGGUAAAUACUGGAACAUUCAUAAUCUGAAAUUGUUAUUUUUUUAAAUGCCGGCCUUCUGGAGAAUGCCUUUUCUUUUGUAGUCUCUGUCAAACAUUGGAAGGAAAUUUCAGUUCAGAGAUGUCUGAAGUUGGACUCAGUGGUAAGCAGAAACCUGAUGACAGCAUAGUGGUCCAGCUUGUUUCUCCUGGGGGCGUUCUUCCGAGGAUAUUUGGGCUGCCUCCAGAGUUGCAGUAUCUUGGGCUGCCAGAAGGAUGACAAUGAAGCAAGAAGGUCCCUGCCAAAUGCAGGUCCCUAGGUCUUAGACAUCUCAGCCUUCGGAACUAUAAUAAAUAAAUCUCUGUUCU